rnacentral:rRNA from 1 species
GGUUAAUUACUAAAGGCAGGCCCAAAAAGCGGUUCAUCAUAUACGUGGCAGAGUAUCAUUGCGGGAAUCCAAACCUUUAAAAGGGGAUGUAUAUGGCGUGUUGGUACUGGGCAAAACAUAAACAUAUGGACAGAUCAUUGGAUCCCUACUAGCAAUAAUAGAAAGGUUCUAACUCCUAGAGGACAUGUCUUGCUAUCAAAGGUAGAAGAGCUCAUUGACCCUCAUACCAGACUCUGGGAUGAAGAGUUGAUCUAUGAAAACUUCUUCUCUGUUGAUGCUCACCGAAUUCUUCAGAUUCCGCUGAAUGUUCAAGGACUGAAUGACUUUGUGGCGUGGCACUACAACAAAUCAGGUACUUUUUCUGUUAGAUCAGCAUAUCACAGAGAGUGGGAACACAAGUUUGGACAACGUGUACACGCAAAUGAUGGUCAAGGAAGUAUGAAUUCAAAUCAAGCUUGGGUUGGCAUCUGGACGUUGAAAGUUCCAGGGAAGAUCAAACACUUCCCGUGGAAAGUGCUUCACGGAAUCCUCGCAUGUAUGGGUAUCCUGACAAAUCGGCAAAUUACUACACAGGCUCAAUGUCCAAUAUGUAAGUGGGGGGCUGAGGAUAUCCAACACUGUCUAUUCACAUGCAAACGAGUUAAAGAAAUAUGGAAGGAGUUGGGCUUGCUGGACAGUAUUAGAAAGGUGACUUGUCGGGAUAGAUCGGGUUCAGUUAACAUGGAGCAACUGCUAUUUGAUAAGCCAGAAACAAAUCUUCCUGUAGAUUUGCCAUAUUCUGAACUUGUAGCUGUGACAGCGUGGUACCUAUGGUGGAAACGACCACAACUGAAAAAGGGAGAGACGAUCCAACCGGUUGGAAGAUCUGCAAUCUCUAUAAAGGCUCUGGUUACAAACUUCGGCGUGCAGUAG